rnacentral:lncRNA from 1 species
GACACUAGAGAAGCCAGUAUUAGAAGAUGAAGUGGCAUCCCAAAGAAAGAAAAAGAUAAACCAUCAGAGGAGAUAGGGAUUGGAAUAGAAUAAAAGAUAGAGAACUUCCUUCUCCAAGAGUUCUGUUCCAGGUCUCCCUCUCCCAUGAAACCACUGUUGCUAGUUUCCUGUGUAUCCUUCAAGUAACAACCAAUGUGUGGGAGUGAGCAACUGUUAGGCACCUAGCCUUGUGCUAGACAUUGAGAAAUCAAAUAUAGUGUUGAUAGCCCCAGAAGAUCACAGUGGGGAAGACAGACUAGAAAAGAAACGCAGCUGAACACGCCCACGGGGUGAACCCUGGUCACCUGCUGGAGCCCACUAAACAGUGUGUUCAGGCUUCACCGGCUCUGAGCGGGGCCAAGGACAGUUUCCAAGUUUGAAAAAUGAGCCGCUUCACUCGCCUGGUGCUAAUGCCUUUUUGAAAGAAACUUACAUCUUGGAAAUGUCAUGACACAUUGCAAUCACGGAGAACACAGCCACGGUAAUUGGGAGUGUUUCUUCAAGAGCAGAGCGUGUCAAAGAAGAUACAUGGCUUGAAGCAUAAUUUCCCGCAACAGUGGUGGGGAGUCGCAGGGGAAGGGAGGGUGUGCAGGAAAGC